AUAAUUUAUGCAUUCUGUGUAUAUAACCAUGAAGGUGGUUAUCCCUGGGCAAGACUUAUCCAUUGCACUCUGUUUCCCCAAAUGCAGGAAAUUUCACUGCAUAAUGUGUGGUUGUAGGGGGCUGUGUUCAUGCUACCCCUGA
rnacentral:snRNA from 1 species